AUUUUUGCUUGUUUUGCUCUUGGGGCUAACAAUGCCUUCAAUAAAAUGAGAUUAAAAAAGUAGAGUGAAACAACACUCUAAACCAGAUUCGAGUGAGAAGAACUUGAAGGAGAGAUUUCCUCAGCAUCAAUCUUUAAAGCAGCUGAAAGGCCAGAAAUAAAUGGUGACUGAAGUCACUCAUCAGUCUAUGAGGGAAGGGGAUUAAAAUCUGUGUUCACAGGCUGAGAGCAGGUGUCUGUGAUGAGACCCCAUGCUGUGACAUGGAUGCAGCACAUUCUUACAUGAAAAGCCCUGGCUGAUGAAAUGACCACAGGAAGACAACAUGGAACCCUCCCAGCACUAUCAGAAGAAGCUUAAUUAAGCUCUGUGGUUAAAUUUAAAGACUUUUUGUCAGAAGCAUGGCAAGCAACUUCAGUUUGGCUUUCUAAAGUGCUGAACACCCAAAACUCCUACCAAGGCUUUCUGGAAUUACAGAGGCACAGUGGGAGCUCAAGUGGCACACAAGCUGUGAGACCCAGAGGGCCCAAGAUGGGCUUUGCCCAGGGAAAGAAUUGGCCAGCAUACCACCAAAAAUCGGACCCUCCUCUUUCAAGAAGGACUGAUGAGGAACAUCCACAAGGUUCAACAAAAUGUAAGGGAGCAGUCACAACUACAAGGCUCAAAAUAC
rnacentral:lncRNA from 1 species